rnacentral:rRNA from 1 species
UUUAAUUGAAGAGUUUGAUCAUGGCUCAGAUUGAACGCUGGCGGCAGGCCUAACACAUGCAAGUCGAGCGGUAACAGAGAGUAGCUUGCUACUUUGCUGACGAGCGGCGGACGGGUGAGUAAUGCUUGGGAAC